ACUCCUACGGGAGGCAGCAGUGGGGAAUAUUGCGCAAUGGGCGGAAGCCUGACGCAGCGACGCCGCGUGAGGGAUGACGGCCUUCGGGUUGUAAACCUCUUUCAGCAGGGACGAAUGUGACGGUACCUGUAGAAGAAGCACCGGCUAACUACGUGCCAGCAGCCGCGGUAAU
rnacentral:rRNA from 1 species